rnacentral:lncRNA from 12 species
AGGAGGCGGAGCCACGGUUGGAAGGGAGCCUGUAUCCUGAGUCAAGACUUAGAAGAAAUCCACCUGGGAAAGCCACCUAACCAGCAUCAGAAUGCAAAGUGGACUAGAAACAAAACAGCGUUUUUAUUCCUCAGUCACACCCAGGAAGGACAAGGAAGGAACGCCAAACUUUGAGCAUUUGGACUCGCCCUUUGCAGUGUUUCUUCAACUUCCAAGGACAAAGGUGUAGUCAGAAAAUGUGAAUUGGACUUGCCCUAUAUCUGCCGAUCUGUCUCAUCCUUGAGUUCUUGUGACAUGGAAACCUUACCCUUGGACUAAGAUCAAGAAACUCAGAGCAAAUGACAAGAAGAUUUUGAGUGAGGUCUUCUUCAGCUCUGAGGAACACUAUGUUACUCUCACCAAAAGACAUGCUUCCCUCACCGCAGGCCUGGGGGCUGUAGCUGGGCACUGCCAGUGGAAACCCAGAAAGGUGGAAGUCCCUGGAGCUCUGCAGAAAGCCAGGCCCCCAGCUCUUUCCCCUUGGCUUUAUGCCAAACUCACAAAUUCCUUAACUAAAACAUCCGUUACCAACACAAACACAGAACCUUCGAAGUCUCUUGAUUAUUCCUUAUCAGUCCCUUUUCUAUGUUUCAUAGAGGAAAUGUAUUACUUUAGGGGAAAAAACAGACUCCCUCUUCUCAGGACAACAAGCUCCGUAUAGUAUGCAUUUGUGGUCACCAAGAUGGCAAGGCAUGAGUCUCACUUGAGAGCCAGGAGGGUAAAUAUGUGCCUAGCAAGAAGCUUAGAACCACUCUUUAAAUAGAGUUUGGCCCUUCCUUCAGCCCCCCUGCUAUUUUGGCCAAGUGUGCAAAUGGCCUCUCCAAGCUCCUUUUUGAGCCCCUAGACACCCGCAAGAAGGGGGCUGAUGGCUGAAAAGGCAGCGGUUGGCCUUUGGAGAAGCUCUUCUGACUAACUAGGCUACACCUGCCACUCUUGCUGCCUUCCAAUCCAUUCCUCACUGUGCACUGAAGUGAUCUUUGAAAAUACGAAUCUGAUAGGAUUCCCACAAAGUCCCA